GACGAACGCUGGCGGCGUGCUUAACACAUGCAAGUCGAACGGAAAGGCCCUGCUUUUUUGGGGUGCUCGAGUGGCGAACGGGUGAUUAGCACGUGAGUAACCUGCCCUUGACUUUGGGAUAACUUCAGGAAACUUGGGCUAAUACCGGAUCUGAGCUCCUGCUGCAUGGUGGGGGUUGGAAAGUUUCGGCGGUUGGGGAUGGACUCGCGGCUUAUCAGCUUGUUGGUGGGGUAGUGGCUUACCAAGGCUUUGACGGGUAGCCGGCCUGAGAGGGUGACCGGCCACAUUGGGACUGAGAUACGGCCCAGACUCCUACGGGAGGCAGCAGUGGGGAAUAUUGCACAAUGGGCGGAAGCCUGAUGCAGCAACGCCGCGUGCGGGAUGACGGCCUUCGGGUUGUAAACCGCUUUCGCCUGUGACGAAGCGUGAGUGGCGGUAAUGGGUAAAGAAGCACCGGCUAACUACGUG
rnacentral:rRNA from 1 species